rnacentral:rRNA from 1 species
AGGGAUCAUUACUGAGUUACCGCUCUAUAACCCUUUGUGAACGUACCUAACCGUUGCUUCGGCGGGCAGGGGAAGCCUCUCGCGGGCCUCCCCUCCCGGCGCCGGCCCCCACCACGGGGACGGGGCGCCCGCCGGAGGAAACCAAACUCUAUUUUCACGACGUCUCUUCUGAGUGGCACAAGCAAAUAAUUAAAACUUUUAACAACGGAUCUCUUGGUUCUGGCAUCGAUGAAGAACGCAGCGAAAUGCGAUAAGUAAUGUGAAUUGCAGAAUUCAGUGAAUCAUCGAAUCUUUGAACGCACAUUGCGCUCGCCAGCAUUCUGGCGAGCAUGCCUGUUCGAGCGUCAUUUCAACCCUCAAGCACCGCUUGGUAUUGGGGCCCCACGGCACACGUGGGCCCUUAAAGGUAGUGGCGGACCCUCCCGGAGCCUCCUUUGCGUAGUAACUAACGUCUCGCACUGGGAUCCGGAGGGACUCUUGCCGUAAACCCCCCCAAUUCUUUACAGGUUGACCUCGGAUCAGGUAGGAAUACCCGCUGAACUUAA